rnacentral:rRNA from 1 species
GGUGAGUAAUGUCUGGGAAACUGCCUGAUGGAGGGGGAUAACUACUGGAAACGGUAGCUAAUACCGCAUAACGUCGCAAGACCAAAGAGGGGGACCUUCGGGCCUCUUGCCAUCGGAUGUGCCCAGAUGGGAUUAGCUAGUAGGUGGGGUAACGGCUCACCUAGGCGACGAUCCCUAGCUGGUCUGAGAGGAUGACCAGCCACACUGGAACUGAGACACGGUCCAGACUCCUACGGGAGGCAGCAGUGGGGAAUAUUGCACAAUGGGCGCAAGCCUGAUGCAGCCAUGCCGCGUGUAUGAAGAAGGCCUUCGGGUUGUAAAGUACUUUCAGCGGGGAGGAAGGGAGUAAAGUUAAUACCUUUGCUCAUUGACGUUACCCGCAGAAGAAGCACCGGCUAACUCCGUGCCAGCAGCCGCGGUAAUACGGAGGGUGCAAGCGUUAAUCGGAAUUACUGGGCGUAAAGCGCACGCAGGCGGUUUGUUAAGUCAGAUGUGAAAUCCCCGGGCUCAACCUGGGAACUGCAUCUGAUACUGGCAAGCUUGAGUCUCGUAGAGGGGGGUAGAAUUCCAGGUGUAGCGGUGAAAUGCGUAGAGAUCUGGAGGAAUACCGGUGGCGAAGGCGGCCCCCUGGACGAAGACUGACGCUCAGGUGCGAAAGCGUGGGGAGCAAACAGGAUUAGAUACCCUGGUAGUCCACGCCGUAAACGAUGUCGACUUGGAGGUUGUGCCCUUGAGGCGUGGCUUCCGGAGCUAACGCGUUAAGUCGACCGCCUGGGGAGUACGGCCGCAAGGUUAAAACUCAAAUGAAUUGACGGGGGCCCGCACAAGCGGUGGAGCAUGUGGUUUAAUUCGAUGCAACGCGAAGAACCUUACCUGGUCUUGACAUCCACGGAAGUUUUCAGAGAUGAGAAUGUGCCUUCGGGAACCGUGAGACAGGUGCUGCAUGGCUGUCGUCAGCUCGUGUUGUGAAAUGUUGGGUUAAGUCCCGCAACGAGCGCAACCCUUAUCCUUUGUUGCCAGCGGUCCGGCCGGGAACUCAAAGGAGACUGCCAGUGAUAAACUGGAGGAAGGUGGGG